GCGGCCUUGAUCCAGUGGUUAGGAUAGUGGCUUCCCAAGCCACUCGCCCGGGUCCGAAAGAAGGUCCCUCAGGGGCCCAGCCGAGAAUCCCGGAGGCCGCA
rnacentral:tRNA from 1 species